rnacentral:rRNA from 1 species
GAUGAACGCUGGCGGCGUGCCUAAUACAUGCAAGUCGAGCGAACAGACGAGGAGCUUGCUCCUCUGACGUUAGCGGCGGACGGGUGAGUAACACGUGGAUAACCUACCUAUAAGACUGGGAUAACUUCGGGAAACCGGAGCUAAUACCGGAUAAUAUAUUGAACCGCAUGGUUCAAUAGUGAAAGACGGUUUUGCUGUCACUUAUAGAUGGAUCCGCGCCGCAUUAGCUAGUUGGUAAGGUAACGGCUUACCAAGGCAACGAUGCGUAGCCGACCUGAGAGGGUGAUCGGCCACACUGGAACUGAGACACGGUCCAGACUCCGACGGGAGGCAGCAGUAGGGAAUCUUCCGCGAUGGGCGAAAGCCUGACGGAGCAACGCCGCGUGAGUGAUGAAGGUCUUCGGAUCGUAAAACGCUGUUAUUAGGGAAGAACAAAUGUGUAAGUAACUAUGCACGUCUUGACGGUACCUAAUCAGAAAGCCACGGCUAACUACGUG